UACGUAGGGGGCAAGCGUUGUCCGGAAUUAUUGGGCGUAAAGCGCGUGUAGGCGGCUCGGUAAGUCUGCUGUGAAAGUCCAAGGCUCAACCUUGGAAAGCCGGUGGAUACUGUCGAGCUCGAGUCCGGAAGAGGCGAGUGGAAUUCCUGGUGUAGCGGUGAAAUGCGCAGAUAUCAGGAGGAACACCAAUGGCGAAGGCAGCUCGCUGGGACGGUACUGACGCUGAGACGCGAAAGCGUGGGGAGCAAACAGG
rnacentral:rRNA from 2 species